UAUUGCGUAUUUUGUGUUCUCAUUUUGUAUUUGAUCUUUGGAUGAAGGGUGGCAUACAGAUUUAAUAAAUAAAACAAUAAUAAUUAUCUAUAAUCUUGCAAGGAAAGAGUUCACAGUUUAUUCCAUUGCCAAACUGUUCCUACUCUUACAUCUAUCUUUACAGUGGAACCUUGGGUUGCGGACGUAAGCUGUGAUGGAGGCACAUCCGCAACCUGCAGCGUUCGCAUCCUGAAGCGCCGUGUCUGCGCCGGUGUGAUUUAGUGCUUCUGCGCAUGCGCCAGCGGCGAAACCUGGAAGUAACCUGUGCUGGUACAUCCGGGUUUCCUGCAGUCUGCAACCUGAAAACACGUAACCUGAAGCAUCCGUAACAAGAGCUGGUGAUAUAUCGCGAUAUUGAAAACCAGUUAUUGCCCAGCCCUACAAUAUAUAAAGAUAUCUGUGGAAGUCUUAUAGCAACCAGGAUGCCAAAAUAUACUUUAAAGCAACCAUGCAGGUUUCUCUGUAUUUCUAAAGUUCCUUUGCCCUAGACAACCAGGUACCUGAAGGAGUGUCUCCACCUCCAUCGUUCAGCCCGGACACUGAGAUCCAGCGCCG